GAGUUUGAUCCUGGCUCAGAACGAACGCUGGCGGCAUGCCUAACACAUGCAAGUCGAGCGCCCGUAGCAAUACGGGAGCGGCGCACGGGUGAGUAACGCGUGGGAACCUGCCCAGAGGUUCGGGACAACCGCGGGAAACUGCGGCUGAUACCGGAUGAUACCUGAGGGUCAAAGAUUUAUCGCCUUUGGAGGGGCCCGCGUCGGAUUAGGUAGUUGGUGGGGUAACGGCCUACCAAGCCUAUGAUCCGUAACUGGUCUGAGAGGAUGACCAGUCACACUGGGACUGAGACACGGCCCAGACUCCUACGGGAGGCAGCAGUGGGGAGUAUUGGACAAUGGGGGCAACCCUGAUCCAGCAAUGCCGCGUGGGUGAUGAAGGCCUUCGGGUUGUAAAGCCCUUUCGGCGGGGACGAUGAUGACGGUACCCGCAGAAGAAGCCCCGGCUAACUUCGUGCCAGCAGCCGCGGUAAUACGAAGGGGGCUAGCGUUGUUCGGAAUGACUGGGCGUAAAGGGCGCGUAGGCGGCGAUUUUAGUCAGGCGUGAAAGCCCUGGGCUCAACCUAGGAACUGCGUUUGAUACUGGAUCGCUUGAGUGUGGGAGAGGAUGGUGGAAUUCCCAGUGUAGAGGUGAAAUUCGUAGAUAUUGGGAAGAACACCGGUGGCGAAGGCGGCCAUCUGGACCACUACUGACGCUGAGGCGCGAAAGCGUGGGAGCAAACAGGAUUAGAUACCCUGGUAGUCCACGCUGUAAACGAUGUGUGCUAGACGUUGGGGGGUUGCCCUCCGGUGUCGCAGCUAACGCUUUAAGCACACCGCCUGGGGAGUACGGUCGCAAGAUUAAAACUCAAAAGAAUUGACGGGGGGCCCGCACAAGCGGUGGAGCAUGUGGUUUAAUUCGACGCAACGCGAAGAACCUUACCAGCUCUUGACAUGGGUAGUAUGGACCUGGGCGACUGGGUCCUUCAGUUCGGCUGGCUACCACACAGGUGCUGCAUGGCUGUCGUCAGCUCGUGUCGUGAGAUGUUGGGUUAAGUCCCGCAACGAGCGCAACCCUCAUCUUCAGUUGCCAUCAGGUUAAGCUGGGCACUCUGGGGAAACUGCCGGUGACAAGCCGGAGGAAGGCGGGGAUGACGUCAAGUCCUCAUGGCCUUUAUGACCAGGGCUACACACGUACUACAAUGGUCGGUACAGAGGGUUGCCAACCCGCGAGGGGGAGCUAAUCCCAAAAAGCCGAUCGUAGUCCGGAUUGGAGUCUGCAACUCGACUCCAUGAAGUCGGAAUCGCUAGUAAUCGCGGAUCAGCACUUGUCGCGGUGAAUACGUUCCCGGGCCUUGUACACACCGCCCGUCACACCAUGGGAGUUGGCUGCACCAGAAGCCGGUAGUCUAACCGCAAGGAGGACGCCGUCCACGGUGUGGUCAAUGACUGGGGUGAAGUCGUAACAAGGUAACCGUA
rnacentral:rRNA from 1 species